rnacentral:lncRNA from 1 species
CCUGAACCUGACCAUCCCUGCGCCCGGGCCGGACGUCAUCCGGAACGUGUGCGGCAGCAUCAGGUGCGUCGUGGUGCUCGUCUCCGGGCGGCCGCUGGUGGUGGAGCCGUUCAUGGAUAUCAUCGACGCGCUGGUGCACUACUGCACAGCCGACAUCCACCGAGCGCCACAAACGCUCGGUGGAUUAACAAAGCCGCUCGGUACACCGUCUACCGAGCGUAUCGCUCGGUGAGUUUUGCUCGGUAAAAAUUUAGUCGAUGAACUAAGUCCACCGAGAGCUGGAUACCAGCCCCUCGGUACAAUAGUCCACCGAGGGCAAAUCUGCCCCUCGGUACAAAACUAGCAGAUGACGGCGUUACCUUCUUUCCCUUCGUUAGCGUUGCCGUCGACUCCACUUACACCGAGAGCAGAGAAGUAAACCCUCGGUGCUAAUGUUCUACCGAGGGCGUAGUUGCCCCCCGGUAGAUGUUUAUAAAUGGGUCCCAGCUGUCGGGGUUUUUAAAAUCUGAAACCUAUUUAAAUAAAUUUCACCGAGAGAGAGAGAGAACCCUCGGUACAACAUUGUACCGAGGGCUUUGUUCCCCCCCGGUAGAUAUUAGCACGCUGGCCUGAAAACUAUUAAAUUAAAAGACACCGAGAGCGAGAUGGAACCCUCGGUACAUAUAUUGUACCGAGGGUUUUGGUACUCAGCCCUCGGUAGACCUAUGGUCGUUGCACCGAGAGCCUUUUGCCCCUCGGUGUAUCUGGGGAACGAGGUAAAAUGUUCCCAGGUAUACCGAGGGUGGUGCUCGGUGAAAUGACCAUUCCCCAGAUACACCGAGCGUGGCUCUCGGUAUACUGACCAUUUCUUUUUUUUUAAUUUCUGUUUCUUCAUUCUAAUACAUGAUCCAAUACACAUAUAUCACAUAUAUGAUCCAAAACAGCACAUAUAUGGUCCAAAGCAUCACAUACAUCACAGAAUUGCACUCAUAUGACACAUUUCUCACAAAUAUAUAUAAAAUCCAUUGUCCAACUAUCCAUCACAAGAUUCCAACACUCCAAAAGGUCGAACAAUCCAUCACAAAUAUAUAUCACAAGUACUAGAAGUUCCACAAGUCUAGUUGCAACAUACGGCCAUGAAAAAGUACCACACGACUAGAUCAUCAAAGGUGAGGCGGCUGCUGCUGCUGCUCCAUGCCCGGCUGCUCCAUGCCCGGCUGCUGCUGCUGCACAUCCGGUGAAAGUGGCGGCAUUGGGUUCGAUCCCGCCGAAGCCGGCUGCACAAAGGAAUAGGUUUAGGUGGCGCGUUCUAUGUGUUAAGACGGGUUACAAAUCCACAAGCAAAGCUCAAUUGAAUGCAAGAGUAUACUCACAGGGGUAGGUUGAGGUGGAGCGAAAGCCGCUAGCAGCGAUGCUGGCAGGUUGGGGGCCGAGGUUUGGAGAAAGUUCAUGAGCUCCGCUAGCUGCUUCGCCUGGGUUUCCUGUUGGGCCCGAAACGCAGCCGCAUCCGCCUGCCGUUGUCGCUCUGACUCCUCUAGUCGGGCCUACAAAAUUUGAAUCCCAUGUUUUAGUAACUCCUCCGGGAAAUGUAAUAAAGAAAAUUUCCUGAGAAAUGGAAUAACCUGGAGUUCAUCAACACGUGUCUGUGCAGGGCUCGGCCGGGUGCGGAUAGUGAGGCCACUGGUCGCGCUCUCUGAACGAAUCUUGGAGAGAGAGAGCCCGGAGCUGUCGAUGCAGCUGUCGGCGAUCCACAACCGUCCGUGCUUCUUGCCUCCUCCCACCGCCAUCACGACUUCUGGAUCAAUGGGCUGAGUGAACGGAUCGAAGUCUGGCCCAUGGACCUUCUGUGCCGCCGCCGUGUAGUCGUGGACCUUCUUGUACACGUUCGGGUUGCUGUAGGCCGUGGGCGGGUCGUUGAGGCUGUAGGUGACGUUGGAGGAGUACUUGCCCUUGUGGGCCAUGCAGAAUGCCCCAAAGUCAUUGCACUCCUGCCCUGGGUGUGCCGCCAUCUGCAAGGAAAAAGAGAUGAUUAGUUUGUGGCACAAUAUAGCAUGACAAUGUAUAAAAGGCUGCGCGUACCCAUCUUUCUUUGUAGACGGUGAGGUUGCGGCUGCCUUGAUGGUGUGCUGGACCUCCCAUCGCCAGACGUCGUUGCCGUAGAAGCCUGUGCUUUUCCUUAUACUCCUCUGUGAACCACCUGUCCACGAUCAUCUCCCAGCACGGUUUAUCGUUCAUGCACCACGUGGCGGGCACCUACAUGGCAUAUAACAAGGUUACUGUCUACCUCAAGGUUACAUGAAACAUAAUGAAAAGCUCAGAAGUAACAAACUUUUGUCACUGUCUACCUCAAGGUACUGUUCUCGGGUCAGCUCCAUCUCUCUAGCGUCUUGUAUGGAGACCUUUUGCCCCAACUUGGACCCGUAGUAGUUGAUCACGCACUGGUGUUUCGCCUCGUGAUGCAUGUCGACGAUUCGCUUUCUGGCGGACUUCUUCAACACUUCUUCCGCCCGCUCCUCAAAUCCCGCCAUUGGUCUGAAGAAAGUCUGCAUACAAAUGUGAUGCAUCCUUAGUCACAUGCUCGGAAUAGGCACAAGUUUGAGCGACGACGGCUUACCCAAAAGUCGUGAAACACGUGCUCCAACGCGUUGCCGUACUCGUUGUCUUCGCCUUGUAAGUAGUGGGCAGCAGUGUAGGCCGGCUCCCUCUUGCCUUUGUAAGUGACAAUGCCAGGGAAAUACUUCCUGACAAGAAGACCUAGGACGCCGUUGGGGGAGCGUGUCUGACCACCCGACAUAACUAUCCAGUUCCUGCACAAGCAAGAUAAAAUAUUAGUAUGGACAAAAUCUUUCAAAUUUAAAAUUGGUGAUAACAUCGGGACAAAAUAUGAAGAGUUACUUACGUUUGCCCAUCGGGGCAAAGCACUCCCUUGUGCUGCUGGUGGGGAACCGGCGGGAGGCUCGCGGGACCUCGCAAGUACACAGUGGAAGUGGCGGACCCAGCCCCGUCCCCGUCCAGGUCCUCGUCCCCGUCCCCGUCCACGCCCACCAGCCUCUCGUCGUCCUCGCCCUGGUCCCCAUCCUCGGCCUCGUCGGUCCUCGGCGGCACCUCCUCGUCCACCAACUCCCUGUGUGGGACCUCCUCCUCCAACUCACGCUCAGAGUCCGUAGUCGACGCCCACGGCCGCCGCCCCUUGCCCUUGCCCUUGGGCACGCGGGGCCUCCUAGCAGUCCUCCUGCUGCUCCCCGUGCCGGUCCUGUCCUCCUCGCCACCCCUGUAAAGGGAGGACACCUCCCUCUGACGCGUGGCACGGCUGCUCACCAUCUUCUUUUGAUCACCUGCAAUUAAACAAAAUCGCAACUCAUCAGUGAAAUCAUUAGUAAAAUCAUUACAGAAUGUAAAAAAUUAAAACUAUAAACAUUGUGCAAAUAUACGAAGAACAUAGUAUUACAUGGUAUUAUUUGGAUCAUAACUCUCGCCGUCACUAUCAACAUUGUCCAAAUAAUCAAAACUAUCCGUAGGAGGAUUGUUGUCUUCAUCAUCGUUCCCUAAGAGUAAUCGCUCAAGCAUUUGUAAGUCUCCCUCAUUUGUGACCUCAUCUCCAGCUUCGUCCUCGUCCGUAGGUAUUUCGUUGUCUACAUCCAUUUCAAGCGCGUCAGGUAACUCUAUCACAAAUCUCCCUGGUAGCCCUUCUUCUUGAAAGAACUCUCCAUCAUAUGUGUUUGGGUCGAUCAAGUUGUAAUCCUCAUCGAUUGGCACAGGUAGUUUACCGUGUGGCGCUACCUUAUGCACAAUAUCCCAACCCUGAAGACACGUUUUGGUUUGGCAAGCAUAUGGCAAGUAAUAAACUUGCACGGCCUGUUGAGCCACAAUGUAGACAUCUGUUCCUGAAUACACGGAAUCCCGUCGAACUUCGACUAAUCCAAUGUUUGGGGUCCGUCGAACCCCUUCACGACCCGGGUCAAACCAAUGACAUUUGAAUAUGACAGGUUUAAGUUCCUUAGGGCCGUAGAACGAAAGUUCAUAUAUUUCUUCAAGUCUGCCGUAAUAGUCCUGGGCAUCAUUGCCGGGCACAAACACUCCACUGUUUGUGGUUUUCCGAUUGGGCCGGCUCCGUUCGUAGCUUGUCGUGUGAAAACGAUAACCGUUCACAUCAUAACCCUUAAAGGACCUAACCCUUUUUUCACAACCGAUUGCAACUUGUCUCAACUCGGCACACAUAGAGGGAUCGGUUUGGCCCUGUAAGGUCAACCAGGAUAGAUCGUCAUAUUAUGAAAAACGUACGAUGAACUACAAAUAUCAAGAUGAGUUGGAAUGGACACUACCUUUCUUUUGAACCACGUAAUAAAAUCAGGGCUUCCUGCCGCACCCUGUGAAAAAAGGGUAUCUUCUUCUUGCGGGGUAGGAUCCCUCGAUUCAUGCCAGGAUUGUCGAAUGAAUUCCCUGUACCAAUGAGAGGAGAGGGUUGGUACAAAUGAAAAGUGACGGCUUAUUGAAACUAGUUAUUUGAGGGCUUACUUUCUGUACGAUUCGGUCUCGUCAAGGUUGGUCAAAAUGUAUAGCAUGAUCUUCCGCCACUCUUCUAUGUUCAGUUGCUUAGUGUUCCAACCACUUGCGGUACCGAGUUGGCCUCGGAAAAGGCUGAGGGUCGAUUCAUUUUCGCCGGCAUUGUAUCGAGGUAGUGGAUUGUGCACGCUGGGUAGCUUCUCGGUAUAGUAUUUCUGUGUGAAGUUUGACACCUCCUCCACAACAUAUGCCUGUGCAAUAGAAGCCUCAGGUCUUGCUUUAUUUCUACAUUUUUUGCGUACGGUCUUCAGAACUCUCUCGACUGGAUACAUCCAACGGUACUGCUGUGGCCCCCCCAUACGAGCCUCAUACGGGAGGUGGACAAUCAAAUGCUGCAUCGGCACAAAGAAACCAGGUGGAAAGACCUUCUCCAACUUACAGAGGAGCACUGGUGCCGUUUUUUCCAAACCUUUGAUGACAUCGACAGAUAGCUCCUUGGCAGAAAGCUGACGAAAGAAAUAGCUCAACUCUGCCAGCAAUAGCCAUAAAUGCUCAGGGACAUAGCCUCGGACCAUCGCCGGAAGAAGCCGCUGAAUCCAAACAUGGAAGUCAUGACUCUUCAUCCCGUUGACUCUAAGAGUAGUUAGGUUCACUCCCCUCCUCAGAUUCGCUGCAUACCCAUCUGGGAACAUUAGUUCCUUCAUCCAUUGAAGCACUUCCCUCCUUUGUGGGAUAGUCAACAUGUAAUCGGCCUUAGGCCUAGUCCAUCUCUUUCCGCCUACGGGAGGCCUCAUUUCUUGGCUUGGCCUAUCGCAUAACGUUGCCAUGUCCACUCUAGCCUUAGGGUUGUCCUUAGACUUGUCAGUGUCCAUGAUUGUUCCAAAUAGGCCCUCGGCGAUAUUCUUUUCGGUGUGCAUGUAGUCAAUGUAAUGAGGUACAAGAAGGUCAUCUACAUAUGGUAGCCUCGUCAGGCCCGACUUAUGAGUCCACAUAUGCUCCACACCAUAUCCCUGAAAACCACCUCCAGGAUUGGCCACAAGAGCUUCUAUCUGAGCAUGAACCUCAGCAGGUGUCGACAUGUGCGGGGGAGGAUCUAGUACUUUGACACCUUUUGUAAAGUUCUUGAUGUCUUGUCGAAAUGCGUGGUUAAGGGGGAGGAAUUGACGAUGUAAGUCGAACGACGAAUACUUGCCCCCCUUCAGCAACCAGUUGAACCUUGCAUCUGUCUUGCAUAUUGGGCAUGGGAACCUCCCGUGUACACACCAACCGCUAAAUAAACCGUAUGCCACGAAGUCAUGGAUGGAGUACUGGUACCACACAUACAUUUUGAAGCUUUUCUUUGUAGCCCGGUCGUAUGUCCAUACGCCAUCAUUCCAAGCAGUUAUCAAUUCAUCCCAAAUAAGAUCCAUGUACACGCCCAUAUUUUUCCCCGGAUGACCCGGAAUGAUCAACGAACAGAAUACAUUUUGUCGUUGAAAGGCGAUACCAGGAGGGAGAUUAAGGGGGAUGACAAACACGGGCCAACAUGUGUGUGGGGCAGAUGACAUCCCGUAAGGAUUGAACCCAUCGGUUGCUAUCGCAACACGUACGUUACGAGACUCUCCGGCUUUGUCAGGAUGUUUCUCAUCGAAGUAGCGCCAAGCUUCACCAUCGGAUGGAUGUACCAUCUUGUCAGGAUGGUAUCUUUUACCCUGUUUGUGCCAUGUCAUCUGCUUCGCUGUAUCCUCGGUCAUGAAUAGUCGUUGGAUCCUCGGUAUGAACGGAAGGUACCGUAGGAUUUUCUCGGCGAUGUUAAGCUGCUUCUUCUGACCAUUACCGCAGUCUACCUCCAUAAACCUAGAGGUUUUACACUUUGGACAGUGAGUUGCAUCCGCGUGUUCAUUCCUAAAAAGGACACACCCCUUCGGGCAAGCAUGUAUUUGCUCGUAAGGCAUCUUAAGGGACUUGAGCACUUUCUCGGCCGCGUGUUGGUUAGCUGGCAGAUUGUUUGGCUUCGGAAGCAAGCUGGCAAUCACAGUCAACGUCUUAUCGAAACCUUCUCGACUCAUGUUUAGGUCGGACUUCAACCCCAUCAAGCGUCCAACAGUAUCCAGCUGAGAAACCUCAGAGUGCUCGUGGAGGGGCUUAGUUGCCGACUCCAUCAUCUUGUAGAACUCCCGUGCAUCUUCCAUCAUCCCGUCCCUUUCAUGAGAGUCGAAACAUGCUUCGUAGACAUCGUCUACCAUGUCUGCUACCCCAGCAUCAGCAUCAAAAGAUUCGAGACGUGGUCUCACCACCUCCUCUCUGAUACGGCCACUUUCACCAUGGUAUCUCCACACGGUAUAUCCCUUUGUAAAUCCAUUAAGCAGAAGAUGUCUACCCAUAUUGACCUUGUUUUGCCUUCUCCUAUUUUCACAUUUGAAGCAGGGACACAGCUGUAGAACAAAUGCUGGAGAGUUGCCAAAUGCACGCUCCAAGAAUUCAUUGGUCUUCUGCUGCCACUCAUCAUCAAAAUCCCAUCUGCUUCUACGACCGUCGUACAUCCACUUACGGUCAUCCAUCCUUUAGCAUAGGUAGUCACACAAUGACAUAUCCACUAAAGAUAGACUAUGACCAUAAAGGUCGUACUCCUACUGUCUAAUAGGUGAGGAUAGGUCCUAAUCCCACCCGCGGAUGCGUAGAUGAGAUUAAUUUCCAUUUCCGCUCCUAUACUAGACAGAAUUUCGGCAGCACCUCCCCGCUGUUCUCCUGAUACACGUCCCGCUAGGGAGAGUGUGUAUCCAGAGAACAACAGGGGGUGAUGCUGAAAUUCUGUCUUGUAUAGGAGCGGAACAUGGAAACUAAUCUCAUCUACGCAUCCGCGGGCUGUCCAAAAAACGUGGACAAUCCGAAACAGAUACAGUGAAGCUGUAUCUGUUUCGGACGGGAGACCCUAACUAGGUUGCGCAAUUUAUGACCAUGAGAGAGAGGGGUUAUUCAUACCUCAGGGCUCCAGUGGCGAGGCAAAGCAGUGCAGGCAAACCCGCUACUCUGGCUCGACUCCGACGGGACUCUCUGCACCAAAAACAAAUCAAGGGGCUUAGUCCAUAAUUUCGGCAGCACCUCCCCUAUACGGUGAGGCAUCCAAACCUGCAAUAAAGUGUACGGCACGAAGGCCGACAACUACAUACGCAUUCUCAUUGAAUUUCACCGAUUCACAUCCAUAUACUACAUUUCAUUACAUUUCACCAAAGCACGAAGCCUCACCUUGCUCGAGCGGGGGCGUGUAGCUGCCGGCGGUGGCGGUGGUCGCGGCGAGGUCGCGGCCGGCGGUGGCGUUGCUCGCAGCGGGGAGGGCAAGGCCCCUCUUCUUCCUCCUCCCUUCUUGCUCCUCCUCCUUCCUCUUCCCUCCCUUCUUCCUCCUCUUUCCUCCCUUCUUCCUCCUCCUCCCUUCUUGCUCCUCCUCCUUCCUCUUCCCCUCGUUCCCCUUGCUGACAACGGCGAGGCAGGGGGCGGGGCCGCGGAUUAGGGGACGGCCUGGACGGCGGGGCAGAGGCGGGCGACGACGGCGACGAUGAGGACGGUGUGGACGGCGACGGGGCCGCGGCCGGGGGUGGGGGCAGGGGCGGCCGGCGAGGAGGUUGCGGGGGGCGCGCGUGGGGGCAGAGGACGGGGGCAGAGGCCGCGAGGACGGCGAGGACCGCGAGGACGGCGAGGACGGCGAAGCGCGGGCGGGGACGGCGAGGACGGCGUGGACGGCGGCGGCGGGGGCGCGGGCGGGGACGGCGACGAGGACGGCGCGGGAGGUGGCGCGGCUGGGGACAGAGGCGGGCAAAGGCUUGGAUCGACGGCGAGGGGGGUGGCGCGGCCGCACCGGCGACGAGGACGGGCGAGCGCGGCGGCGGAAUCGCGGGCGGGUGAGCGCGGCGGCGGCGGGGGCGGCUGAGUGUGGGGACGAGUGUGUGUGAGAGAGAGAAGGAGUGGGGGGGAAUUGGAUAAGGCCAGUUAGGGCCUUUACCGAGUGCUGGAUAGUAAGGCACUCGGUACAUUUUUAUUUUUAUUUCAAAAUUUUAAACCGCCCACGUGAUUUACACGAAAUUAAAAGUAUGAAUUCAAAUUAUACCGAGCGCACAGCCAACCCUCGGUACAAAAUGGCCAUGUCACCGAGGGUUACCCAUUGCCGCGCUCGGUACAAACAUUUUACCGAGGGGCCAAGGUGCACCCUCGGUAAAUUUUGGUUAUUUUUUUUUGAAUUUGGCUUCCAAAUUUUUUGUGUGUGCUUCUUACCAUGCCUACUUGUUAAUGUCAGGAUUUGAGAUUUUUUCGUAACCAUUUACUAUUUAUUUUCAAUUUACAUCUAUUAAUUGAAUUUUCAUUUGGGUGUCAAAUUUGAACUGUACGCCAUUCAAAUAGAGGCAAGACAUGAUCCGAAAAAUGAUGGACAUACUUGUGAGUGCAAUGUGAGCCCCAACCAGGGGACAGAGCCAAAAAAAUCGAACACCUUGUUCACGGAACAUGCCAAAUCUGUUGCGGAUGAAUAGUGUUUAAAUUAUAUAAAAUUCAAACGAAGUCGAAAAAUCAAAAAACUUGUCCAGUGGUCAUGGUAUCUUAUGUGUAGACUGUGAAAAAAAUUUGAGAAGGUUUCGCUGAAGUUGGCGCCUAGAGUGAUGAAAUCCUGUACAACUCCACUAGAGUUAUAUUAUCAUAUGUUGUAUACAGCCUGGGUUUCAUCACUCUAGGCGCCAACGUCAGCGAAACCUUCUCAAAUUUUUUUCACAGUCUACACAUAAGAUACCAUGACCACUGGACAAGUUUUUUGAUUUUUCGACUUCGUUUGAAUUUUAUAUAAUUUAAAGACUAUUCAUCCGCAACAGAUUUGGCAUGUUCCGUGAACAAGGUGUUCGAUUUUUUUGGCUCUGUCCCCUGGUUGGGGCUCACAUUGCACUCACAAGUAUGUCCAUCAUUUUUCGGAUCAUGUCUUGCCUCUAUUUGAAUGGCGUACAGUUCAAAUUUGACACCCAAAUGAAAAUUCAAUUAAUAGAUGUAAAUUGAAAAUAAAUAGUAAAUGGUUACGAAAAAAUCUCAAAUCCUGACAUUAACGAGUAGGCAUGGUAAGAAGCACACACAAAAAAUAUGGAAGCCAAAUUCAAAAAAAAAUAACCAAAUUUUACCGAGGGUGCAUCUUGGCCCCUCGGUAAAAAUUUUGUACCGAGCGCCGCUGUAUGCAACCCUCGGUAACUAGCCAUUUUGUACCGAGGGUUAGCCAGGCUCUCGGUACAAUUUGAAAUCAUACUUUGGAUUGAAAUGUUUUUGAAUUUUUAAUUUCGUAAAUCACGUCUGCAAAAUUUUGGAUUCAAGUGUUUUUGAAUUUUGAAAGACCAAACUCUACCGAGGGCUCCGCAUACCCCUCGGUGUAAAUAUUUCACCGGAGGCAACCCAUUAGCGCUCGGUGGAAUGACCAUAUUCUACCGAGCGACAGACGGUGCUCUCGGUGGAGUUGACGACGUUGUGGGAGUUUACUCGACUGAGAGAGUGGUGCGUCAAUUUUACCGAGAUGUUUUUUCUACCGAGGAGCUUUGCUCGCUAAAACACAGUUUUAGCGAGGGUUUUAUCUUACCGAGGGUUAGACGCUCGGUAGAAGGGAAUGGUACCGAGCGUAUGUGUUCACCGAACGCUACUCGUGAAGUGCACCGAGGGUCUUAUUUCACCGAGCUUAACCGUCGGUACAAGAGUGAUGUACCGAGGGCCCGUUUUCCUGCUCUCGGUACAUCUUUAUGCUCUCGGUGGAGAUGCACUGUGCCGUAGUGGUGGCGGCGUGGCUGCCGGGGACGGAGGGGCAGGGCGUCAGCGACGUGCUGUUCGGCGACUACGGGUUCACGGGGAAGCUAUCGAGGACGUGGUUCCGCUCGGUGGAUCAGCUGCCCAUGAACGUCGGCGACGCGCACUACGAUCCAUUGUUCCCGUUUGGCUUCGGCCUCCAGACACAGCCGUCCACAUAUUAGAGGGUAAUUGCAUGGCCUAAAUUUGAGCUAAAUUCUUAGAUUUCCCUGUGAAAUUAAUAUGCUAAGAGAGACUCUGAAAGCUUACUUAGCUUGAUCUAUGUGAGUAGUACUGUAGUAGACAAUUAAUAAUAAGAUCCGGAAUGUCCGAUGGUCUCUCUUCGGUGACAUGAUUGUGUUCUUGUGAUCGAUUCAUGCUCAUUUGAAACUAAUAGUGAUUGCCUGCCCCUUAUCCUUUGUUUAGAGGGAAGUGAUUCGCUAAGGAUAUAGGCUUAUUUAAACCAUGCUUAUAGCUACCACUUUAAUUUUAGAGAUUU